GAUGAAGAACGCAGCGAAAUGCGAUACGUAAUGUGAAUUGCAGAAUUCAGUGAAUCAUCGAGUCUUUGAACGCACAUUGCGCCCCCUGGUAUUCCGGGGGGCAUGCCUGUCCGAGCGUCAUUGCUGCCCUCAAGCACGGCUUGUGUGUUGGGCCUCCGUCCUCCUCCCGGGGGACGGGCCCGAAAGGCAGCGGCGGCACCGCGUCCGGUCCUCGAGCGUAUGGGGCUUCGUCACCCGCUCUUGUAGGCCCGGUCGGCGCUUGCCGACACAUCAAUCUUUUUCCAGGUUGACCUCGGAUCAGGUAGGGAUACCCGCUGAACUUAAGCAUAUCAAUAAGCGGAGGA
rnacentral:misc_RNA from 1 species